UUUCCGGUUGAUCCCGCCGGACCCGACUGCUAUCAGAGUGGGACUAAGCCAUGCGAGUCAACAUAGCAAUAUGUGGCAUACGGCUCAGUAACACGUAGUCAACAUGCCCAGGGGACGUGGAUAACCUCGGGAAACUAAGGAUAAACCGCGAUAAGUCACUACUUCUGGAAUGGGUAAUGACUCAAACCUAUAUGGCCCCUGGAUUGGACUGCGGCCGAUCAGGCUGUUGGUGAGGUAAUGGCCCACCAAACCUGUAACCGGUACGGGCUCUGAGAGGAGGAGCCCGGAGAUGGGCACUGAGACAAGGGCCCAGGCCCUAUGGGGCGCAGCAGGCGCGAAACCUCUGCAAUAGGCGAAAGCUUGACAGGGUUACUCUGAGUGAUUUCCGUUAAGGAGAUCUUUUGGCACCUCUAAAAAUGGUGCAGAAUAAGGGGUGGGCAAGUCUGGUGUCAGCCGCCGCGGUAAUACCAGCACCCCGAGUGGUCGGGACGUUUAUUGGGCCUAAAGCAUCCGUAGCCGGUUCUACAAGUCUUCCGUUAAAUCCAACUGCUUAACAGGUGGGCUGCGGAAGAUACUAUAGAGCUAGGAGGCGGGAGAGGCAAGCGGUACUCGAUGGGUAGGGGUAAAAUCCGUUGAUCCAUUGAAGACCACCAGUGGCGAAGGCGGCUUGCCAGAACGCGCUCGACGGUGAGGGAUGAAAGCUGGGGGAGCAAACCGGAUUAGAUACCCGGGUAGUCCCAGCUGUAAACGAUGCAGACUCGGUGAUGAGUUGGCUAUAUGCCAUCUCAGUGCCGCAGGGAAGCCGUUAAGUUUGCCGCCUGGGGAGUACGGUCGCAAGACUGAAACUUAAAGGAAUUGGCGGGGGAGCACCACAAGGGGUGAAGCCUGCGGUUCAAUUGGAGUCAACGCCGGG
rnacentral:rRNA from 1 species